GUUGCUUGCAUCCUUCUGCCGGUUCUCAGAAGAGAAGACUUGGUAGGUACAAUAAAAAGACUAUCACGCAGAACACACUGGAAUUUGAGCUGGGCCGUUUCUGGAAGUUCCCAUCAGCACUGCACGGUGUGAGAGCAUGCACACAACAGUGUGGAAGCUAUGUGUACAGAGCCAACACUGCAUUGAAGUGAGCUGCCACACAGUGGUUUCUAGGAAGGAGCCAAUGCCUUCACUAAGGAAGCCUGGGAAGUUUCAACUGCACACCGUCAGCACAGCUGCAGGAGCACAGAAGGGCCUCCCGUCAGCCAGCUCUAUGGAGGAUGGACAAUGAGCAAGCAAAGUCCACCUUUUAGACACGGCAACUGUCUCCGGUCCUCCCUCUUUUCACUGCGGCAAGCAUUUCCUAGCAUGUCAGCACAACAUCAAUCCAGAGAGGUGCUUCGGCGGUGCUUAUCUACCAGGAAAUCACAAGAACAGCCAGCGGCUUCCAAGAACUCUGUACUGAGUCCCGAGAACUCCUCUUCCAGGAAACAGCACCAGCGCGACCACACCUCAGACCAAGUUGGGAGGGUUCCUUUCAAGCUCUUUAAUUCCCUGGAGAAUUCGCUUCAUAUGACCCACUUUCGGUAUCCCCAGGUCCUAAAGAGAGAGAGAGAGAGAGAGAGAGAGAGAGAGAGAGAGAGAG